AUUGAACGCUGGCGGCAGGCCUAACACAUGCAAGUCGAGCGGAUGACGGGAGCUUGCUCCUUGAUUCAGCGGCGGACGGGUGAGUAAUGCCUAGGAAUCUGCCCGGUAGUGGGGGACAACGUUUCGAAAGGAACGCUAAUACCGCAUACGUCCUACGGGAGAAAGCAGGGGACCUUCGGGCCUUGCGCUAUCAGAUGAGCCUAGGUCGGAUUAGCUAGUUGGUGAGGUAAUGGCUCACCAAGGCGACGAUCCGUAACUGGUCUGAGAGGAUGAUCAGUCACACUGGGACUGAGACACGGUCCAGACUCCUACGGGAGGCAGCAGUGGGGAAUAUUGGACAAUGGGCGAAAGCCUGAUCCAGCCAUGCCGCGUGUGUGAAGAAGGUCUUCGGAUUGUAAAGCACUUUAAGUUGGGAGGAAGGGCAGUAAGCUAAUACCUUGCUGUUUUGACGUUACCGACAGAAUAAGCACCGGCUAACUCUGUGCCAGCAGCCGCAGUAA
rnacentral:rRNA from 1 species